rnacentral:rRNA from 1 species
UGGGGAAUAUUGCACAAUGGGCGCAAGCCUGAUGCAGCCAUGCCGCGUGUGUGAAGAAGGCCUUCGGGUUGUAAAGCACUUUCAGCGAGGAGGAAGGUGGUGAGCUUAAUACGCUCAUCAAUUGACGUUACUCGCAGAAGAAGCACCGGCUAACUCCGUGCCAGCAGCCGCGGUAAUACGGAGGGUGCAAGCGUUAAUCGGAAUUACUGGGCGUAAAGCGCACGCAGGCGGUUUGUUAAGUCAGAUGUGAAAUCCCCGGGCUCAACCUGGGAACUGCAUUUGAAACUGGCAAGCUAGAGUCUCGUAGAGGGGGGUAGAAUUCCAGGUGUAGCGGUGAAAUGCGUAGAGAUCUGGAGGAAUACCGGUGGCGAAGGCGGCCCCCUGGACGAAGACUGACGCUCAGGUGCGAAAGCGUGGGGCAGCAAACAGGAUUAGAUACCCUGGUAGUCCACGCUGUAAAACGAUGUCGAUUUUGGAGGUUGUGCCCUUGAGGCGUGGCUUCCGGAGCUAACGCGUUAAAUCGACCGCCUGGGGAGUACGGCC